ensembl:lncRNA
CUCCUCUGCAUCAUUAGUUCAUAUCCUUUUGUAAUUCCAUUUGCUUUUAAGUUAUGUAAAAUGUUGUCAUCACUCACUGCUAUUAGCUCUCACUUGAGUGCACAAUUCUGUUCCAGACCACAGACUCUUCAGAAAAAAUAGACUCUGCAAGAUCAGUGCUAUUUCCUUGAUGUCACUACAAGGAGAGAGGAAAGUGGCCAAGACAUCCACUGAAGCUAUCCUGUGCAGUCAGAAUGCUUUACUUCCAAAUGUUUGUAUGUUUGUAUCUGCUCUGCGCAACUAAUGUAUGAGAACACAAGCAAGUCUGAAGUCCUCAGUAUUUUCUUUUGAAGUACACCAUACAUUCAAAUCAGCCAAAUGUUUCUUCUCCUAUUGGGACCUCUGAAGAUGAUUAUUUGCUGCUUUAAGAAUAUAUUAAAGUAAGAGUUCUAUGGAAACUGAGUAUGCUGACUUCAUCCUUAUGAUGGAACCCUUCCUGUGACCCGCAGACCCGAUGUUACAUCGAUGGAAAUGGAAACUCCGCCGCCCGCACCCGCAGCACACGCCUGUAGAGCAGAGCAGUGGCCGCAGCCGCACUGCGGUGGCUCCGCGGGAGUCGAGAGGCCUCUAGCGGCCCGGGCAGCUGAGUUUGCCCUGUCAGGGAGCUGGAAAACGGGGAAGUUCAGCAGUGCUCGGCCAUACCUCUCUCUCAGUUAGAGGACAGCGCUCUUAUACCCUAAACAGAAGCCCAAUAUAUACAUAUAUACUUUAUUUCUGUGGCCAAAGAAUUUGCCGAAACUAUUUU